rnacentral:rRNA from 1 species
AUUGAACGCUGGCGGCAUGCUUUACACAUGCAAGUCGAACGGUAACAGGGAGCUUGCUCCGCUGACGAGUGGCGAACGGGUGAGUAAUGCGUCGGAACGUGCCGAGUAGGGGGGGAUAACGCAUCGAAAGGUGUGCUAAUACCGCAUACGUACUGAGGUAGAAAGUGGGGGACCUUCGGGCCUCACGCUAUUCGAGCGGCCGACGUCUGAUUAGCUAGUUGGUGAGGUAAAGGCUCACCAAGGCGACGAUCAGUAGCGGGUCUGAGAGGAUGAUCCGCCACACUGGGACUGAGACACGGCCCAGACUCCUACGGGAGGCAGCAGUGGGGAAUUUUGGACAAUGGGCGCAAGCCUGAUCCAGCCAUGCCGCGUGUCUGAAGAAGGCCUUCGGGUUGUAAAGGACUUUUGUCCGGGAGCAAAUGCUGGUGGCUAACAUCCACCGGAGCUGAGAGUACCGGAAGAAUAAGCACCGGCUAACUACGUGCCAGCAGCCGCGGUAAAAC